rnacentral:rRNA from 1 species
CCUGCCCACUGAGUAUUAAUUGAAGGGSUGCAGUAUAUUGACUGKACAAAGGUAGCAUAAUCAUUAGUCUUUUAAUUGAAGACUGGAAKGAAAGGUCUAACAAGUUUUAGCUGUCUCUAAAGUAUUUUAUUAACUUAUUUUUUUUGUGAAAAAACAAAAAUGAAAUAAAGGGACAAGAAGACCCUAUCAAACYUAUUUUAUUUUAUAUAUUAUUUAANNNNNNNNNAAUGUAUUAGUUAAAAUUUACUGGGGCGGUAGGUAUAGAACAUUAUUUAUAUAUAAUAUCUUUAAUGGCUUAAUAUAAGGAUCCAAAAUUGAUUGAUAAUGAGAAAAAGUUACUGUAGGGAUAACAGCGUAAUAUUUUUUGAGAGUUCAUAUGACAAAAAUGUUUGCGACCUCGAUG